GUGUUGUAUGAAAGGAGAAAAGGUUAGCGUUCCCCUCGAGAAGGAUGGAAGGGGUAUUAGGGGUCUUCACAACACAUACACCUUUAAGGAACUGCCCCUCAUUUCAUGGCAUCUAACCAUGUUUUCU